AUUGGGGAAUUUUCCGCAAUGGGCGCAAGCCUGACGGAGCAAGACCGCGUGCGGGAGGACGGCCUAUUGGUUGUAAACCGCUUUUGAUAGGGAAGAAGUUCUGACGGUACCUAUCGAAUCAGCAUCGGCUAACUCCGUGCCAGCAGCCGCGGUAAUACGGAGGAUGCAAGCGUUAUCCGGAAUUAUUGGGCGUAAAGCGUCCGUAGGUGGUUGUUCAAGUCUGCUGUUAAAGCGUGCGGCUUAACCGCAUACCAGCAGUGGAAACUGGGCGACUAGAGUGCGGUAGGGGUCAGGGGAAUUCCCAGUGUAGCGGUGAAAUGCGUAGAUAUUGGGAAGAACACCGGUGGCGAAAGCGCCUGACUGGACUGCACUGACAC
rnacentral:rRNA from 1 species